GAGCGCUGCAGUUUGAAGGAAUCAAAUCCUUUCCUCCUGUGGGAAACAAAAUCCAGCCCCAAAGACACAAAACCUCUAUCCACUGUCACCAUGUGGAGGAAAGGCGUUCGGCUGGCUUACAGCAGAAUAACUUCAUGGGUGACCUCACAUGCGAAACAGUCUAGAGAAACAAAUAAUUAUUAAACAAAACCACUUCUCUAGCCCUGCUCCUUCCUGCAAAGUCCCUGCCAGGAAUAUUUCUGAGUGAGAACUGAGGCAUCUCUGCUCGUUUGGAGGAAAUGCUGUUACACAAUGCAGGACAAAACAGUUCAAGCCACUUUAAACAGGAUAAAUGUAUGAAGGCUUCAAGACACAUCCGAUGGACUCGCGCUGCAGGAACUUCUGAGGGAGUUUUGAAUCAAUGCACCCCAUAAGCCACUGAAAAAAUAUCCAGAUUCCGGCUGUUUCUGCUCUCAUGGAGUGAUGUGACCUGGCACAGGUGAAGGAGAAAAGUGGAAUUUGAAGAAGGGGUUUAUUCAACAGAGGCUCUGUCAGGAGAACUCCAUUCUCUGCCCGUCUCCCUGGAGAAGUUGCUGCUUUUGCAGCUCAAGAAAUGAGGAGAGAAAAAAGAAUAUUAUUUAUUAUCUGCAGAGGAAGGUGAGAGACCAAAACAAUCCACCAGCUUUAGGAAAUAACCUGCCUGUGUGCACUGACAGGUAUUGUUUUGGAGAGGUCAAACCCAGCGCCCUCGGAGCCCUGAUGGCACCGUUUUACGUGUGCCAGCUCCAUCUCUGUCUCCACUGUGCUGGACAAGGUGUGUUAAAGCAGGGCUGGAAGAUUUCCUUUAUGCUGAACAACAGCAAAACUCCUCUUUGAAGCUUCAGAAAGCAGCUUUGGGCUCCUCCUUGGCUGUGUGGUUUCAGGAUGUACCAGAACUCCCUUGUACCUCCCUUCUGACCUACCAUAAAUCUCGUGUGAGGCCAACAAAUGCAAGGGUGAGCUCUGCUCUCUGCCCCCCCAGAAAUCCAAGGAGUGGAAAUGAGGGGAACUCUCUCAGCUUGCCCUUUUCACCUUUAGGACUCAUCUCCCAGCAAACAGCCUGGUAACACUAUCAAAGGAAAAUAGAGGUUAAUUCUAUUGUCAUUACUUAUUAUUGUAACAUCAGGCAGCUGUAACAGCUCAUUCAUUAAAAUAUCCUGAUAGUGCUGAUAAUGUAUCAGUGAACAGGAAAUAGGUUGGUUUGGGGUGUACAAACUUCGCUGCUAAAAAUCAUUCUGUUUGCAUAACAGAGUGUUAAAAAAAAAAAAAAUCCUUCCCUUUCCUUGUAGCAUUACAUAAAUAAAAUAGAAGCUAGUUUAGAAAAGGGUCUUCUCAAAUGAAAUCCUGCUUGACUCGCAGCCAUCAGGCUGGGUAGGGAAAAGCCAGCCCUCAGAGAUGCUCUGCUGCAUUCAGCCUUGCUUCCCUCGAUGCAAUCAACAUGGCUAAGGGGAUCCCACAUACCUCCAGGUCUGUCUGCAAUAAGUAGUUAAUCAGCCAAUUAGGGGAACCAACAAUUACAAAUUGGGAAGAGGAGAACAAGGGGAGUGAGUCAAGGUAGGCUGCAACCCCUUUGAAAAGGUUUCUAACAUUAACUCCCAAAGAAUUACGUUCUACCGUACCUUGACUGAUUUGUUUCCCCCCUUCCUCCCCCUUCCCCUUUUCCUACUCGUUGGGUCAGUUAAUUGGCUGAUUAACUAGCAAUUACCUCUGGGACCAGCUCUAUAUAGAGUCUCUUAAUCUAGAAUUUUAUUGACAAAGGCACGAGGGCAAAUUCAUCUCUGGUGUGAGCUCGCUGAGUGAAUGGACUGACACCCAGGACAAAGUUGAUCCAUUGUACCACAGGCACUGUGUUUUUAAAGCAUUUGAUUAACUUGGAACUUUCAAAAUUACAUUCCUUUUCUGCAAGAUCUGCUCGUUUUGGGUAGGAGAGGGAACAAGAGCUGGCGAGGGAAGUCAGUCAGAGGGGCGAUGAUGUCUGGAGCAGCAAUAUCCCCCAGCCCCGCUCUGGUUGAUGACAGAACAGCUACACGGGGUGACACCUCCCCUUUUUCUCAGGCUGGCACUGCUGCAGGCUUGCUGGCAUGGGCUUUUUCCUCAGCAUGUGCACAAUGAUUAAUUGGCAGCCCCGGAGGGUGGGGGACAUCUCUUAUCUUUGGCCUGGUGUGCACAGCUGAGUUCCCCAGCCAGGGUUCCUAACAGUACUGAGGAUUCAGUUUAGACAGUAAAACCCUUCAGCUUGUCCUUGGUCCCUUUUCAGGCCUUGUCUGGACCAUCUUUUACAUCACUUUCCUUCUCCUUGUUCCUGGCACUCUGCUGGAUCCCUGCAGCCCUAUGCUUUGUGCUGCAGGAAUCAAACCCAGCGCAUUUAUUGCACCAGAAAGCUCAAAUGGGACACUGCAAUUAGAAAUCCCUCAUUCUUGCACAUGCCUGUGUUGUCUGGAGCUGCUCUGCUGGGAAGGGAAUGCUAAACUGGGCUGGACCCUGCACGCCGUUACCAGGCAGUAGGGAAAGCACGAUGCAGGAGGGGAUGGAGAUCCUGUUCUGGGAGAACUCAGACCAAAGAGCCAGCUCUGAGCACUGGAGCCAAAAGGCAGAGGAUCAGAUUAUUGAGGGAUCUGGCAAAUUCCCUAGAACACUGGGGCCUGGCAGGAACACAUCCCUCCCUGCAUGAAAGGGGCUCUGUGUUUCACAGUUUCAAACAGCUCAUGGGUUAAAGAUAGGCUAGCCUGGCAAUAGAACAGCUCAAAGACCAGGAAUAUGGGAUAUCUGUGGCGAGGGAAAUGGCAGAAAGAAUGUCUUUUUCCCUUGCUGUGGCAGGACAAAAAAAAAUCCCACUGCUGGGUGCUAUUUUCUAGGCAGGCAGAUGAGGCAGUGACACUUCUAGCUGCAGAUACGUGUCUGCCAUCCUGUUUGUGCUGCUCCAGAGACUGCCAGGAGCAGCACAGGCGAGGCAAAGCAGUUUUGCAAAUUCAGAGACAAAAGGCAGAGGUACAAGUCAUAAAAAUGACAGUGGAUAUUUUAUAGAGGUAGAGGGGCAGAGAUGGGGCAUAGAAUUGCAUCCUCUCCCUCUGCAGCUGUCCAGAAUCAGUGGUGGCAUCUUCUGUAGCGAGCAAGGCCAGCUGGAAAUAUCCCUGUUUCUGCCUGGAGGUCACCUCUGCAUGGGUGCUCACUCUCAGUCCUGUGGUGAGGGCAUAAUGUAAAUGUUUUCUAGGUACAGACCAAAUUUUCCUGGCUAAUCCAAACUGUCUUGUUAAAAAUGUUUAUGAUACAGGCCCCCAUAUAAUAAAAAAUGCUGGCAUUUUUGAUAAUGCCUCGUUGGUCCUUUCUCUUUCCGACUUCUGCACUUGGAAUGAAAGGAGGUUUUGGCUGUAAAGAAGCAUAGAAAAAUGGGGGAAAAAUCACUUUUUUUUUUUUUUCCUAAUGAAAACAUGCUAUCUGGUUCGGGGAAGAGCUGAAAAAAAUCGCUGGAAGAAAAGCCUUAUCAUAAUUGGUCUCCUUGCAAAAGACACUUGCUUUGCUGAAAAAACUCCGUUAUACUCAUGGUGAUAAGAAACUUGUAAUAGAAUUCCCGGGAUCUGAGGGCUGUGGUUAUCAGAGAGAGGAGCUUUGCCUAUCUUUGAAGUAAGUUCAACCCCACAAGGUAUUUUUGAGUCUGAGAACACCUGAUACCCAGUUUACAUGUGAACUAGAGAAUAAUGCAUUUGAAUUAUCAUAAAAGCGAUAAAAAAUGUUCCUCAGAUCCAGACAAAGCCCGUCACUUUGGUGGUCACAGCUCUGGAUUUCCCUGGAAUACAGCUCAUCCUAAAGCUAGAUAUCUAUCAGUGUUGUGGAGGGAUGUAGUGGAGAAUUUACCCAGAAACCUUGUGGAUUACUAAAAACCAUUCCUGUCUCUAAUGCUAGAAGGUUUAGAAGCCUCAGAUUAAAACCAGAUAUUCCUCAGAUGCCAAGAUGGGCUGCAUUGAGGCAGGAGGCUAGACAAAAUUCUGUUUAUAAUCUUUCUAAAGCAAUGUAUAUUUACCUUACCAAGAUCCAAAUUUCCAGGCAGAAGCAGUAGCUCUGUCCCUGGCCAUGAAGGGAGAAGGGAAGUGCAGGCAGUCAGAGGCCCAGGAGUGCAGCAGUGUCUCUGAUCCAUCUCAGUGUAGGAGCUGCUGCUUCUUCAUUCCUCCUUCUCUCACCUGUGCUCUUUCCACAAACCGUUACCAGAGGUCUUCAGCCAUGGCAGAGUAUGAAGGGAAUGGGUGACGCUUCCAGGAACAUAUCCCAGGACCCGAUAAAAUCAGGAUUUCCUAUAGGUAGAAAAGUUCUUUCCAUCCUGAGCCAGUGGAGGUCUAUAAGCCAAGAGGCGGAUGCUAUGCUGGGCACUUAAACAUUCCAAAUCCUCUGUCCUUGCCAAGGGGAUGAGGGAAAAGGGGUUUUGUGUGAAUUGCUUAGUAGAAGACAAUCUGGAGAAGGCACAGUCAGUCCUCUGUAGCAAAGGACACCAUUAGGGAUUUCAUCUAUCUAGAAAAAUGCAGAGCCUGGUAGAAGUGAUAAAUAAAAAUGAUUUCUUCCAGCUUUUGAAACUCCACUUGUCGUGAGCAGACAACAGUCAGAAUGAUGGUGGAAAAGUGUGGUUAGUGUGGUUUUGAGAUUUGCUAGAGAAACGAGGACCUGAAUGCAGUGUGUGAAAGCCAAAGGAGUAUUUUUGUUUAACACAUUCUUAUUCUCUAUUCCUUUGAUGUCUCUUAAUGUUGUGCUGCCUUCAGUAUUCUGAUGGGGUGGAGGGAGUGGGGGUCUUUAAUGGGUGCUAGUUUACACCUAACAUGGUGUCACCAAUUCACUUUUAGUGAAAGUGGCCUGUUUUCAAAGGUGUGGGAUGGCAGAUCCUCCUCCAGUUCUGGGCUGGGAUUCAGGCAGCUUUUCUUCACUGCUAAACAUGGAUUAGACAUGUCAGGAGUGACAGCUUAGGCAGUCCAUCAUAACAACAGUAAAGACAUUCCAGAGCAGGACAGGAGGAAGAGAACAGAUUGCUUUUUAGUUAAUCAGCCUUGGGAUGUGCUGUGCCCCUGCCCUGCAGCCCUUCUGGCCAGGAGGCUGCUCCCUCCCACUGGUGCCAGAAGUGACCACGAUAACACAAACAAGUUGGGAGCAAUGAUACACUGUCACCUUUAUAAAAAAUGAAAAAUACAGGAGUCCAGUUCUUCUGUUUCCCUUCUCCUGCCCCCAUGCAUCACUGCAGAGUCCUGAACAGAAGAGCCCACCAUUACAAUGUUGUCAGGGCCCUGCUAGUUUUCUAGUUCAUGUCCUUGUUCAUGCUGUUUGCUAAGUACUUGUUCACUGUGACAGCUUUCAGCAAAACAGAACACACUGAAUGCUUCUUUCCAAACAGCUCUGUCCUGCUGGGCUUCAAGUGAAACAAGCCCUUCAGACUCCAUCAUGUGAACUUUUCAUAAGGAACAAUCUCCUUUAGACAAUUCCUUUCAGAGAUACUAUCCGUGAAACUGGGACUUGGGGAUGAGGUGACAUCACAGCCUUCUUCCUCUGGCCAGGGUCAUGGCCACCAAAGUUGUAUUUGUUAGGAGGCCUCCACAUGGCAUGGUGCAUGAUUUCCUUAAUUACCUAAUGUUUCCCCAUUAAAAAAAAAAAAAAAGAAAAAAUUCUGCAACCCCUUGAAAGUGUAUUUUAGUAUGUUUUCUGUUGAAAGAAAAGCAAAGGCUCUUGUGCAGACAGUCAGAUCCUGGCUUGUGAAAAUCAGAACCGAUUAAUGAAAACAUAGCUCGCCUGCAGUUAAAUCUUAAAGGCAGAUGUGCCAGAGCUGAUGGACCAAGACAGGCAGGUCUUUGCUAAUUCCCUGGCUGGUGUCUGGACCUUGUGCCAUCCCCUUCACGUUCAUCUGUGCCCUGGGUGGUGGCAGCCAAGUGUAGGAAAAAGCAGGAGGUUUGAAGAGCAAGGCAAGGUGUGCAUGUCCUUACCACCCAAUCAGCACAUAAAUGGGAGAAAAGGCUGGGUGACAGAGUCUGGGAGUGUGCAAAGUGUUCAUGUGCACUUCAGCACAAAGAACCUGGCCCUGUGCAUCUCCUCCUGCCUCGCUGCUGAGGGGAGGACUUAGAAAGGUUCCACCACUUUUCCAGGAGCUGGAAUUGGAAUUGCUGACCCAUGAAAGGUGUCCCAACCCAAAUAUCACCGAAUAUCCAUCCCCCCAAAUAUCUACCAUGCAUGGGCAGGGAAGGAAAAGUAAUGUGGUAAAAGCAGAGAAGAAGUUACACUGAGGAAACGUUUCAGGUUUAGGAUUGGGUGCAGAAAAUGGUCCUUUGGGUGUUGGUGUGUCCCACUGAUGUGGGAAUAGAGAUUUAAGUGGCUUUGUGCUUUUAACUAUUCUUGGUUUGGUAAAUUAAACAUGGAAAAAGAUAUCUCAUGAAGGGCUUGGUAUUUUAUACUCUUAUUUCUCUUUUACACUGGAUUAAAGAAUUGUUCUUCUGCACUGCAUAACAAAAAAAAGAGAACUCCAAAGUGCAUUAAGAAGGCGUCGCCCUUAAAUAACUUAAAAUGCUAAUUGGAAAACAAAUCUAAAAAAAUGUCCUUCAACCCAAGUGGUGUUUGAUUCUUCAUGAAAAUGUGCUAAUAGCAUGUCAGCUGCCUAGCAGUGACAUUUGUAGCUGAAAACAUUUUGUUUAUCCAACUUCCAUGAUGAAAUGCAAGAGAAUUGUGAGCUCCACAAUGUGUCUUUCCCUUAACACCGUUGUAGAAGAUGUUGUUUUUUAACACGGUGCUUUUUUCCCUCUGCGCUUCUCUAAAUGUUAUUUUCGGGACAAGGUUUAAUUUAUGUGGCUGAGUCAAUCCGUGGGCCAAAUUUAAAGGGCAAGUGAUUUAUAUGAAAAUUUUGUCUACCUGUGUAUUCUUUGAGAUACUUUCUGUACCAUCUUUGGAUGGAGUUAAUUGAAUAGACUGAAAAAAUUUACUUUGUUACAUGCAGAAGCAGCAAUUUAGUUUUUCUAUCUGACUUCCUGUAAAUCUUCAUUCAUUUUCAGUCAGAUCAGGGAAUUCCAUCACUCAUCUUUGUGUCUGGCCAAUAAUUCAGGAUUAAGAAUGUGAGACACCAAAGCAGCAGGUCUCUCUUUUUAUUCCACAUGCUUCUAGCAAGAAAUAUUAAUUCAUAACUGCAAAAAGUUAUGCAUUUUGCCUGCAGGGUUCUAGAUGAAGUCAGUAAAAAUUGGAGCAAGCUUGGGGCACAAGUUACUCGCAGUCCCGUGGAAUUUUGUGCACACGCGGAAUUGUGGAAGCCAUUGUUCUUCCCAGCUGCAUCCCACCUCAAUGAGAAACCACUUCCAUGUGCAAUUUCGCAGGUACUUCUGUGCCCAAAUAAAGACGGAAAGUUUGAGGCCAAACGUUGAGCAGACAAUACCUCUGCUACAUUUCGGUUGGAGAUGUAAUAGCUCAGGACUUGUGAUUCCCUCACUGAUAUGGAAAAGGAAGAACAUCCUCAAACUCAAGUGUUAACAUCUCUUUCUUUUCCUUUUCACAGCUCAGUGCUGUGUAAUUCCCACUGAGGGCACUGGGAGCUUUUUUAACACCGUAAUUUUAGAUAUUAAAGUAAUUUUAGCAACAGUUACUGCCUAAUUAAUCCUGCUAAAAGAAAAAGAAAGCAACAGAAAAAAGAACAACAGAAGGCAAAGACCUCUGAAGAAUCCCAGAAUAUUUACAAAUCGAUUUGCCUUAAUGUCCAUUUCAAAUGUAACCAUAAUGAAAUCAUACUUGGCAUUAAUAAUAUUGCUUUGGAGUGGUUUGCUCUUAAAAUGCUCACGAUAUCUCCAGCGGUCCAGUUCACAUUCAGCUGGGACAGGCAGCGACAACAAUUUCAGGGGCAGCCAGGUGUGGGAGUCGGUCACAGAGCUCGGGCUGUGUAACCUGCGGCUGUGUUGUACAGGACCUCAUAAAUAACAAUUUGUUCCUGCCUGUUCCGUGCCUUUUAAACUCAGAACGCACGGAGGAAAGGAGAGCCAGAAGAGAAAUGCCUGCGUGUGGGAGAACUCGAGCACGGAGCUAUCUGCAAUCGUGUAUUGCCUUUGUUUAUGUGCGCGGAGAAGAACAACUCCCGUGCUCCGCUAUUUCCCUUUAAAAGCGCCCAUCCCAGGUUUCAAGUGCAGGCUGGAAUAAACACAAACAAACGUCGUAUUCAUUCAGCUGGGGGCUUCUCCCAUUCACCGCUCCGCAUUCUCUCAUCCCUCUCAAAACUGAGAAACGCACGUUUCCAAGUGGGGGGGAUGAGGGGGCGCUGGGACUGAGCUUUUUCUAAGCAACCCUUGCUUUUUCACGAUUCAUUAAACCCUUUCUCCCUCGCGUGUAAUUGGACCCCUCUCAUUUACAUGCAUGGGGGAUGCAUAACUCUGGGAGAGGUGCUGUGGUCGGGGGGAAAAAAAAAAUUAGAAAAGAGAGGAGCCGGCCCUUGGGCCAGGGGAAAGGAGCCACGGGAAAACUUGGCGAGGGAGAGCCGUGCAGGGGCUUUGGAUGUGUGGAAGGAGCUGGUGCCGUGUGCCAGGGCUCGGGGAAGGGACGGAUGCUGGGGGAGCUCCGGGCUGCCUCGCCUGACCCCGGGGCUGGCCCUGACUUCAAACCCAUCUGGGCAGUGACCCCGGCUCCCCAGAGAAGGGCUGCUCUGUGUCUGAGGCAGCGAACUGCGUGUCUGCCCGGGAGCCUCCGCACAGAGGCACCCGGCUGAUUGAUUAAUUAAUUAAUUAAUUGCUGAUAGAGCGUUCGGGGUGAUGGUGCAGGCUCCAGAGCUCACACCCCACCUGCUGAAGCUGAACUGGCAGUUUUGGGAUGGUGGAAGGGAAGAGAUCCCGUUCCUCCCUUCCUUUGCACUGUGGAAAAUAACUCUUCACACCCAAUGGAUUUUUUUUCUUGCAAGACAAUGUCAGAAUUUUAGUAACCUUGUUCAUGGUGGGGAAAAGUCUCCAGCAAGAGGGUGAAAUAUUUUAGCUGGCUUUUUAUAUUGUUAAAUUUCUGCAUCCUGCUCUUGGUAGAAACUCCUCCUCUCUUUCUCUGCACAGGCUCUGCGUCGCUCAUCUUUGCUCAGCUCUUAAAGUUGCUGUGGCAAUGCUGAGCUGUGUUAAAAAAAGCUCUAACAUCAUAUCCCCCACCGGCAACUCCUGAUUUAUCAGUAAGGUGGAGAUAAACUCAAGCUUGUUGAGAUCUAGAUACUGAAAAGCAAAGCUUAUUUUUUAAGCUGUGUUUUUGGCUGUGCAAUGCAUGGGCCAGACUGCCUGGGUAUGUCAGACAAAAAAUGAGGGUCUGGUAUCUGCCCUGCAGGAGAAGGACUGCUCCCUCUCCAGGAAUACCUGCUCCCUCCUGCCAGCCCUGCCCGGGGCUGCGAUUUCCAGCCCUCCCUCAGAGGGAACAAGCAGGAAUGAUACUUUUCCUGGUCAAAAGGAACACAAAAGGCAUUUGCUGACUGGUGCAGUGGGCACAGUGAAAAUAUCUUUACGUUCCAGAGGAAUCUGUGGGAAGGGACCCUGCAUGGCAUGGAGCCUUGGCAAUUCACUUCUAGAGACAGCAGUUGGCUUUACAUGUCUUAGGAGAUGCUGCUUUAUGGUGGUAAUAAUUUGGUAAUUUUUAAACCUUUAACGGAAAACAAGGAAUGGGAUUUGACCCUGUGGCAUAGCACUUAGAGCUGUGUCUUUUGUUAAGGUUUUUUUUUUUAGAUUUUAUUUGUCUCAUGAUUUUUUAUAAACCGGUUGAGUACUUUUGAUGGAAGAAAAUAUUGAAACACUAUCAGGGCUAAUAUUUAUUUGCCUGUUGCUGAUGGGAAAAUUUUUUAGGAAUUAAAUAAAAAGAGUACAUAGAUAUAUUAAUGAGUGUUUCUUUUAAGCUCUUACUUUAUAUGCUCAAGCCCAUCUUUUAGCUUAACUUCUAUUUAAAAAGUUGAAAGAAACGAGGAAAUCCCUGCAGAGAACAUCCAGCCACACUUCUGAAUUUCAAUGUGUCCUUCUAGACGAGCGCCUUUUAUUUUAGAUGGUAAAGUUGUUGCUUUAAUCAGGAGACAAUCCUUAUAUAUUAGUUGUACUGGCUUAUAAUUGUAAGAGUUAAAUGAUACACAAAACUGGAUACACAUCUUUGCAGGCCGAUUAAUGGGGAGGACUGAAAGCAAAAGUAAACACUAACCUUGCAAAA